UAUAUUUUUAAGUUAUCAUCUUAGUUUGAGUUUGGCAUAUGAGGGAAUUGUGACCCAUCUAGUUGUGAGAUUGCUAUUCAUUUGGUCAGACUCUAGUCUCAUCUCACUACUGCUGGUGAUCUUUUCAUGUCUUGGGUAAUAUGAUUUCUUUGACACAUAUAAAAUAAUAAGCAACCUUUUGCCUUGGCCAGUUCAGACUGUCAUGAAGGGGUAUAGUCAGCUGUUUCUACAUAAUGGAAAUGUCCAUAGCAUUGCCCUUAUUAUUGUACUUGGUAUCAGGUUACCUGCCUUCUCUUAUUUACUUUUAUAUUAUGCUCAUCUCAAUUUUGUGUGUUGCAGUUUGUGCCCAGGAAGCUCAUCCUUUUCCAAUUCACUGUGUGUUUACUUCUUUAGUUUUCAACCAAAGUUUUGUAAUUUGUGUUGGUUUUGUCAAUUUUAAAGAAAUAAACCAUAUUCAACUUAAAGUCGAAUUUGUUAUUAAUUUUUUAUAUCCUUUAUUCUUUAGGCAGAUGAUGUUGAGGGCAAAAUUAGACAAAUCAUUCCACCUGGAUUUUGCACAAACACGAAUGAUUUCCUUUCUUUACUGGAAAAGGAAGUUGAUUUCAAGCCAUUCGGAACCUUACUUCAUACCUACUCAGUUCUCAGUCCAACAGGAGGAGAAAACUUUACCUUUCAGAUAUAUAAGGCUGACAUGACAUGUAGAGGCUUUCGAGAAUAUCAUGAAAGGCUUCAGACCUUUUUGAUGUGGUUUAUUGAAACUGCUAGCUUUAUUGACGUGGAUGAUGAAAGAUGGCACUACUUUCUAGUGUAAGUACAGUUCUAAAGCAACAGUAGACCUUAUUACCUCCACAAAGCCAGCAUUUUAAUUGUGGCAGCCCAAUUAUUGGGACAGUAUAAUGAUAUUUUUCCCAGGAAAGAAAAACUAUUGUUUAUGAGGCUUGAGUUUUCCUUCAUUAUGCUUUGGGAGACCUUGAGAAUAGAGCUGAAUUAAAUGCUGUUGUCCGUUAGGGCCCUGAAUGUAGGCUUAAACAGUAAAAUGAGCUUUGCCUGUGUUUUCUUUUACUUGCCACCUAUUCAUCUUUAUAAUAGGCAAGUGCACUGAAGUGAUGUAAAGAGGUCUGAUUUAUCCAAGUUGCUGCACACCAAUUAAGUGAAUUGUACAUUCAGAACAUAGCAGGUGUACCCAUUGGGCCCUCACAGAGUAGCUUGCUGACACUGAAAAUUCGGUCAGAGAAUGGAAAAGAAAAUGGACACUGCAUGGGAGCGCGACUGUAAUUGACCUGCUUGGCUUUCUGUUUUAUCUGCAGAUUUGAGAAGUAUAAUAAGGAUGGAGCUACGCUCUUUGCGACCGUAGGCUACAUGACAGUCUAUAAUUACUAUGUGUACCCAGACAAAACCCGGCCACGUGUAAGGUAAUUGGCAGUAUAACACGUGCCUUGUCUUUUAUUUCAGAAUAAGGAACUGCUGAAGUUUCCAAUACUUGUUAUAAUGGUGUUGAUUUGUUUAAAAAAAAAAUCACUAUUAUUCAUGGGCUAUGUACUGAUUUAUUUCAUUGUUCCCUUUGAAACACUGUAGAAGAUUAAACUAAUUUUGAGUAUCUUGAUAAUUUUUGGGUAUCUCAAAGGUGGAUUAAAAAAAAGAUCACACAAACUUUAAAGUGUUUGUAAUACUAUAGUGAUCUGCAGGUUUCAAACUGGUCAUGUUAUGAUAUUUUAAUUUUAAAAUAAUUUCUUUACUGUAGUCAGAUGCUGAUUUUGACUCCAUUUCAAGGUCAAGGCCAUGGUGCUCAACUUCUUGAAACAGUUCAUAGAUACUACACUGAAUUUCCUACAGUUCUUGAUAUUACAGCGGAAGAUCCAUCCAAAAGCUAUGUAAAAUUACGAGACUUUGUGCUUGUGAAGCUUUGUCAAGAUUUGCCCUGUUUUUCCCGGGAAAAAUUAAUGCAAGGAUUCAAUGAAGAUAUGGCGAUAGAGGCACAACAGAAGUUCAAAAUAAAUAAGCAACAUGCUAGAAGAGUUUAUGAAAUUCUUCGACUACUGGUAACUGACAUGAGUGAUGCCGAACAAUACAGAAGCUAUAGACUGGAUAUUAAAAGAAGACUAAUUAGCCCAUAUAAGGUAGGACUUUCAAGAAUCUUAAACACUGUAUUCUUUUCACUGUUUAAAACAGAAGAAAAGCUACCAAAUGCCAGUAUAUGAGACAGUCCAAGUCAUUUUGUAAAAUUAACUUUUACAAAAGUAGAAAUAUUCUUCCAGUAAUUUAUAAAAAUUCUCACUCAUGGCCAGGCGUGGUGGCCCACACCUGUAAUCCCAGCACUUAGGGAGGCCAAGGCGGGUGGAUCACCUCAGGUCAGAAGUUCAAGACCAGCCUGGCCAACGUGGUGAAACCCUGUCUCUACUAAAAAUACAAAAAUUAGCCAGGCUUGGUGGUGGGCGCCUGUAAUCCCAGUGACUUGGGAGGCUGAAGCAGGAGAAUCGCUUGAACCCGGGAGGUGGAGGUUGCUGUGAGCCAAGAUUGCACCAUUGCACUCCAGCCUGGGUGACAAGAGCAAAACUCCGUCUGAAAAAAAAAAAAAAAAAAAAAGAAAAAAAACCCGGGUGCAGUGGCUCACGCCUGUAAUCCCAGCACUGUGGGAGGCCGAGGUAAGUGGAUCACUUGAGGUCAGGAGUUCAAGACCACCCUGGGCAACAUGGCGAAACCCCAUCUCUACUAAAAAUACAAAAAUUAGUUGGGCAUGAUAACACGUGCCUGUAAUCCCAGCUGUUUGAGAGGCUGAGGCAUGAGAAUCACUUGAACCCAAGAGGUGGAGGUUGCAGUGAGCUGAGAUUGUGCCACUGCACUUCAGCCUGGGCGACAGAAUGAAACUGUGUCUCAGAACAAACAAACAAACAAACAAACUUAUCCCAAGGAUAGUCUACCAUGGUUAGCUUUUCUUUCAUUUGCAUGCAUCUUUAAAAAAUCUGAAUGCCUAGUCUCUUCCCUAACAAAUUAUCUUGUUUUUCCCAAGUUUCUUGUCUUCUCAGUUGUUAUAUAUAUAUUCUCUUUUUUCUCUCUUCCCAGAUAAAAGCAAAGUUUUAUAUAUAUAUAUAUUCUCUUUGCUUUUGCUUUCUUCUUCCUAAAAAUAGCCUUUGUUGCUAUUUAUUAAUAUAAUCUCUGUACUUUACCAUAGCCGAAACCAUGUUAGUACUAUUAUAUUUUUAAACAUUCUUCUUGCCCUUUUUUCUCACUUCUUUGUCAUCUUCCAUAUCCCUCCUAGAUCAAAUUGGCCUUAUCAUUUGGACAUUGUCAGGAUGGAUAUUGUUUAUGCCACCUUAUGUGAAUGAAAAUUUGCUAUCUAGGCCAGGUGUGGUGGCUCAUGCCUGUAAUCCCAGCACUUUGGGGGGCCGAGGUGGGCAGGUCACCAGAGCUCAGGAGUUCAAGACCAGCCUGGCCAACAUGGCAAAACCUCGCCUCUACUAAAAGUACAAAAAUUAGUUGGGUGUGGUGGUGGGUACCUGUAAUCCCAGCUACUUGGGAGGCUGAGGCAAGGACAUCAUUGAACUCGGGAGGCAGAGGUUGCAGUGAGCUGAGAUCACACCACUGCAAUCCAGGCUGGGCAACGGAGCAAGACUCCAUCUC
rnacentral:sRNA from 1 species